rnacentral:rRNA from 1 species
AACGAACGCUGGCGGCAGGCCUAACACAUGCAAGUCGAACGAGUAAGAGCCGUAGCAAUACGGAGUUCUGCUAGUGGCGCACGGGUGAGUAACGCGUGGGAACGUGCCUUGGAGUUCGGGAUAACAGUUGGAAACGACUGCUAAUACCGAAUAUUCCCUCAGGGGGAAAGAUUUAUCGCUCCAAGAUCGGCCCGCGUAAGAUUAGGUAGUUGGUGGGGUAAUGGCCUACCAAGCCUACGAUCUUUAGCUGGUCUGAGAGGACGACCAGCCACACUGGAACUGAGACACGGCCCAGACUCCUACGGGAGGCAGCAGUGGGGAAUAUUGGACAAUGGGCGAAAGCCUGAUCCAGCCAUGCCGCGUGAAUGAUGAAGGCCUUAGGGUUGUAAAAUUCUUUUGCAGGGGAAGAUAAUGACGGUACCUGCGAAUAAGCUCCGGACUAACUUCCGUGCCAGCAGCCGCGGUAAU